rnacentral:rRNA from 1 species
CCUACGGGAGGCAGCAGUGAGGAAUAUUGGUCAAUGGACGCAAGUCUGAACCAGCCAUGCCGCGUGCAGGAAGACGGCUCUAUGAGUUGUAAACUGCUUUUGUACGAGGGUAAACGCAGAUACGCGUAUCUUUCUGAACGUAUCGUACGAAUAAGGAUCGGCUAACUCCGUGCCAGCAGCCGCGGUAAUACGGAGGAUUCAAGCGUUAUCCGGAUUUAUUGGGUUUAAAGGGUGCGUAGGCGGGCGGAUAAGUUAGAGGUGAAAUCCCGAGGCUUAACUUCGGAAUUGCCUCUGAUACGGUUCGGCGAGAGAGUAGUGGCGGUAGGCGGAAUGUAUGGUGUAGGGGUGAA